UUUUCAAGCCUGUAGUCGUGCCUGGUAAAUCCGCCGGGCUUAGAUGAGGGGUGAUAACGAGGCUGCUUGCAGCCGAAGUGAGUGAUACCCUGCUUCCAGGAAAAGCCACUAAGCUUCAGCUACACACGACCGUACCGCAAACCGACACUGGUGCGCGAGAUGAGUAUUCUAAGGCGCUUGAGAGAACUCAGGAGAAGGAACUCGGCAAAUUGACACCGUAACUUCGGAAGAAGGUGUGCCUUUAGUAGGUGAACCUGUACAAGGGGAGCCCAAUGAGGUUGCAAAAAAUCGGUGGCUGCGACUGUUUAAUAAAAACACAGCACUCUGCAAACACGAAAGUGGACGUAUAGGGUGUGACGCCUGCCCGGUGCUGGAAGAUUAAAUGAUGGGGUGCAAGCUCUUGAUUGAAGUCCCAGUAAACGGCGGCCGUAACGAUAACGGUCCUAAGGUAGCGAAAUUCCUUGUCGGGUAAGUUCCGACCUGCACGAAUGGCGUAACGAUGGCCACACUGUCUCCUCCUGAGACUCAGCGAAGUUGAAAUGUUUGUGAUGAUGCAAUCUCCCCGCGGAAAGACGGAAAGACCCCAUGAACCUUUACUGUAGCUUUGUAUUGGACUUUGAACAGAUCUGUGUAGGAUAGGUGGGAGGCUUUGAAGUGUGGUCGCUAGAUCGCAUGGAGCCAACGUUGAAAUACCACCCUGGUGUGUUUGAGGUUCUAACCUAGGCCCGUAAUCCGGGUCGGGGACAGUGCAUGGUAGGCAGUUUGACUGGGGCGGUCUCCUCCCAAAGCGUAACGGAGGAGUUCGAAGGUACGCUAGGUACGGUCGGACAUCGUGCUAAUAGUGCAAUGGCAUAAGCGUGCUUAACUGCGAGACUGACAAGUCGAGCAGAUGCGAAAGCAGGACAUAGUGAUCCGGUGGUUCUGUAUGGAAGGGCCAUCGCUCAACGGAUAAAAGGUACUCUGGGGAUAACAGGCUGAUACCGCCCAAGAGUUCAUAUCGACGGCGGUGUUUGGCACCUCGAUGUCGGCUCAUCUCAUCCUGGGGCUGUAGCCGGUCCCAAGGGUAUGGCUGUUCGCCAUUUAAAGAGGUACGUGAGCUGGGUUUAAAACGUCGUGAGACAGUUUGGUCCCUAUCUUCCGUGGGCGCUGCAGAUUUGAGGAAGCCUGCUCCUAGUACGAGAGGACCGGAGUGGACACACCUCUGGUGUAUCGGUUGUCACGCCAGUGGCAUUGCCGAGUAGCUAUGUGUGGAAGAGAUAACCGCUGAAAGCAUCUAAGCGGGAAACUCGUUUCAAGAUGAGAUCUGCCGGGGCCUUGAGCCCCCUAAAGAGUCGUUCAAGACCAGGACGUUGAUAGGUCGGGUGUGGAAGCGCAGUAAUGCGUUAAGCUAACCGAUACUAAUUGCUCGUGCGGCUUGACCA
rnacentral:rRNA from 1 species